AGAUUGUUAGUGAUAUUUUAAAGAGAUUAUGUAUAACUUUAAUGUGUUUACAGUGAAUUGCGAGAGUUGUGCUUAUUUUUCUUGGUUAGGUUAAUUAGUUUUUUUUUUUGUUUCGUUUAUUUCAUUUAGAAGUAAACUUAGCUGGAAAUGUGAAUCAAUUAGGAUUCGAAUUUGGGUCUCGGGUACCAACCACCAAGCCCUUUGCCACUGGUUAGGUUAAUUAGUUACUCUAGUAACAUGUGAAA
rnacentral:lncRNA from 1 species